CGGGGUGUGGCUCAGUUUGGCUAGAGCGCCUGAUUUGGGUUCAGGAGGCCGCAGGUUCUAGUCCUGUCACCCCGA
rnacentral:tRNA from 1 species